CAAUGGGCGAAAGCCUGACGGAGCAACGCCGCGUGAGUGAUGAAGGUCUUCGGAUCGUAAAACUCUGUUAUUAGGGAAGAACAUAUGUGUAAGUAACUGUGCACAUCUUGACGGUACCUAAUCAGAAAGCCACGGCUAACUACGUGCCAGCAGCCGCGGUAAUACGUAGGUGGCAAGCGUUAUCCGGAAUUAUUGGGCGUAAAGCGCGCGUAGGCGGUUUUUUAAGUCUGAUGUGAAAGCCCACGGCUCAACCGUGGAGGGUCAUUGGAAACUGGAAAACUUGAGUGCAGAAGAGGAAAGUGGAAUUCCAUGUGUAGCGGUGAAAUGCGCAGAGAUAUGGAGGAACACCAGUGGCGAAGGCGACUUUCUGGUCUGUAACUGACGCUGAUGUGCGAAAGCGUGGGGAUCAAACAGGAUUAGAUACCCUGGUAGUCCACGCCGUAAACGAUGAGUGCUAAGUGUUAGGGGGUUUCCGCCCCUUAGUGCUGCAGCUAACGCAUUAAGCACUCCGCCUGGGGAGUACGACCGCAAGGUGAAACUCAAAGGAAUUGACGGC
rnacentral:rRNA from 1 species